GUAGAAAAGGAAAAGUGAAAUGAUGAAUAUGCAGCUGCACAUCGGUGACGAGAAGUUUCAUUGUCUGCUAUGUGCAGCAAACUACAAGAGUUGGUGCUUUUCUAUGUAUUGUUUUUUGUAGGUAUGUGAGCAACAAAUUAUUUGUUCAGAUGAACAGAUGUCGACUUCAAAUGGUGAAAAGUUUGGUUCACAAAAUGCCAUGCAAUUUGAAAAUGUACAGAUGUUAAAGAACAUACAAGAUUCUGCUUAUCUUACAUCUUUUUUCAAUCUCUUUCCUCAUCGUCUUCUCUUAUGGAUAUAAAACUGUGACCACCUCUGCCUCUCUCUCAUCUCUGUGUUGAUGAAAGUUUUUAACAAAUUUUUUUUUUCUCUCCCAGUGGUCUUAAUGGAUUUCUCAGUUUCUGGAAGCACAGUGAUUGAGGUGUGAACAUCCACAUCUCAUUAAACAUGUGAAUGGAAGAUUGGGUCAAAGCCCAAACAGCCCAGGGUCGACCGUCCUCUUUGGUUGCGCCUCUUUUCUUCUUGUCCGGCCAAUUCCGGUCGUCUAUCCAACGUUCCAUCCACUUUUAUCCCAACUUUGGAAGGAAACGCAGGAAACCCAACUUCAUCUUAGCGAGGUAAGUUUCACUAAGCUCGUUCAAACCUCCCUUUCAAAUGAACUUUUUUUUCAUUGUUGUCUGAAGAUCAAUAUCAAAUACGUUCCCUUCUCCAAAAUUUGAGCACAACCGUUCUCAUCAAAACCAAAGCCUAAAGAUUCUGAACUUUUUGGACUUUCAGCAUGUCAAGCACUUAUACCAAU